rnacentral:rRNA from 1 species
UGGGGAAUAUUGGACAAUGGGGGCAACCCUGAUCCAGCCAUGCCGCGUGAGUGAUGAAGGCCCUAGGGUUGUAAAGCUCUUUUGUGCGGGAAGAUAAUGACGGUACCGCAAGAAUAAGCCCCGGCUAACUUCGUGCCAGCAGCCGCGGUAAUACGAAGGGGGCUAGCGUUGCUCGGAAUCACUGGGCGUAAAGGGUGCGUAGGCGGGUCUUUAAGUCAGGGGUGAAAUCCUGGAGCUCAAACUCCAGAACUGCCUUUGAUACUGAAGAUCUUGAGUUCGGGAGAGGUGAGUGAACUGCGAGUGUAGAGGUGAAAUUCGUAGAUAUUCGCAAGAACACCAGUGGCGAAGGCGGCUCACUGGCCCGAUACUGACGCUGAGGCACGAAAGCGUGGGGAGCAAACAGGAUUAGAUACCCUGGUAGUCCACGCCGUAAAACGAUGAAUGCCAGCCGUUGGUGGGUUUACUCACCAGUGGCGCAGCUAACGCUUUAAGCAUUCCGCCUGGGGAGUACGGUCGCAAAGAUUAAAAACUC